GUCAGUGAAAUGUUUUAUUUCUUGGCAAAAGGUAUGUUUAUUUUUAAUAGUUAAGAUAAUGUAUUUUAUGUUGUUUGGUUCACGUUUUGCAAAUGUGUAAAAUGAUUGCAUUAUUUUUUGUGUUGAGUUAUUUCUUGUUGAAAGUUAUCGCGAGAUUUGCAUUUACGUGAAAGGCGACGUGUCUUGAAUAAACUUAGAAGGCGCAGAAGCUUGGAACAGAGCUAUGUGGAGCAGCCUUGUGUUUACUGUAGCUGUCAAGAGUGGACGAGGAAGAAUUAAACUGUUAAAGACCUCCGAAGUGGCAGGCGGUCACGAGUUUUCACGGCGUUAAUAAAGAGCCCGUCUAAAGGAAGCCGUGCCAGUGUUGUCACUUUGGAGUUACAGUGAAAACUCACCCAGCCAACGCCGGUAAGAAGCUCGUUAAGACGACGGCAGCUGCAGUGAGCGACGGUACCGUGAUGUAACACAAGAGGGCGCCAUUUGUCAAGCUCACCGUUUAUAAGAAACCAGCAGCAACAACCUUGUACAGCUGAAGUAGGAUGGUAAUUAAGGACAAUGUUAAAAGUAGAAUAAGAGUGGAUUAAUUGAAAUUUAAAACCACAAUAAGUUUCUACAACACAUUUGUCAAAAGGUUACUUAUUCUCUUCUGAACUUCAAGCUAUGAGUUGUUGCUAAGGAAAAGGUGUUGUGUUUUUAUCGUGAGG